rnacentral:tRNA from 1 species
GGAGAGGUGGCUGAGUGGCCGAAAGCACCACACUGCUAACGUGGCAAGGGCUUUAAAACCCUUCGAGGGUUCGAAUCCCUCCCUCUCCGCCA